AAAAAUCAAUAGAUUUUACUGGGUAGCUGUUUAUUUCCAUUUGUGUCUCUAACUUAUGUAGUAAUAGUUUUUAAACAGUUUACAGUUAAUGUAUAAAUAUGAUUAUUAUAAUAAAUCGUUAUAUCUGGGUCAAAUUGUUACCACCCUUUCGGUAUGAAACUUGGGUGUAAGAAAGCAGCCAACUUUUAAAGCCGUCAGACUUCGCGUAAAGCGGUGUUUAUGUAAACAGCUGCGCUCUCCGCUGCGCGCGGCUCCCCGCGCCUUCCCCAUCCACGUGGCCACCGGGGCGGGCGGGCGCGCGCCGCUGCUCUCCCAACAUCUCAUAACAGCACAUUGGCAGCGAGCAGAGGGAGCAGAGGGGAGCGGACUGCCAGGUCGAGGUUCACUUCACUUGUGCGUUAGGAAGCGGAGCAGCUUCGACCAGAACCCUGCGCCCGUGUCUUUGGUCCCUCGAACCCAGGACUUCCUGCUGGUCCUCCAGAGUCCAGGCGUCUCCGAACGUCUUUGCUCGUGGUCCUGCGGCAGGCAGGAUCGCAUCGGGGCCACUCGCUCAGCGUGACUUCCCUCAAAGUUCAAACCAUCAUCAGCAGUGACACACGCUUGGAAGUGAGAGGAGCACCUCCAGGAGCAGAGGUCCGUCUCCAUCCGACCGCUCGGGUCUGCUGCGACUCACAGGAGCUCCAGGAUGGACUCUGCGGAGAACUCCAAAGAGGACACGGCGCUGAUGAGCCCCAGUCCUCCCCACUCCCUGAUCCCGCGUCUCCUCGUGGCUCUGCCGACCAUCGUGUGUUUCUUGCUGUCAGUGAGCUCCGUCUCGCUUUGCUUCUUCAUGACCUUCAAGACGUCCCAGCUGGAAGACCGAGUCCACGCGCUGGAGAUGGAGAAACAUCUGCAGCUGCACCAUCGUGAGAUGUCUUUCCUGGGAGAAGAAGACGGGAAUGUCACACCUGCGCUGCGGGACACCGUGGAGAAACUUCUGCAGGAGAAGCUGAGCAAGGCUCUGCCCCUGCACCGCAUGGCGAGGGACCUGACGCAGCAUUGCUCCUGCCCUCCAGGGCCUCCAGGAAAACGUGGCAGGAUGGGAAGGCGAGGUGAUCCCGGUGAGUUUUCUCCUCUUCUCCUCACGUCUCCUCCCUCUGUACUUGUUUUCUGUCCCACCAGGCAGGAUGUGGUGGAGAACCAAUGAACCGUGAGCGGGAAUAUAAAUGAUCCGACAGGCCGUCUGACCCACGGUAUUUGCU
rnacentral:lncRNA from 1 species